rnacentral:rRNA from 1 species
AAAUGGCCGCAGUAUUUUAACUGUGCAAAGGUAGCAUAAUCAUUAGUCUUUUAAUUGAAGGCUUGUAUGAAUGGUUGGACGAAAUAUUAACUGUUUCAUAAAAAUUGAGUUAGAAUUUUAUUUUUUAGUUAAAAAGCUAAAAUGUUUUUAAAAGACGAGAAGACCCUAUAGAUCUUUAUAAUUUAUGUAUUAUGGUUAUUUAGAUGAUUUAAACUAUGAUUAUUUAAAUUAUUUUGUUGGGGUGACAUUAAAAUUUAAUUAACUUUUAAUUAUUUUUUACAUUUAUUUAUGGUUAUUUGAUCCAUUAUUAGUGAUUAAAAAAUUAAGUUACCUUAGGGAUAACAGCGUAAUCUUUUUGAAGAGUUCAUAUCGAUAAAAAGGAUUGCGACCUCGAUGUUGGAUUAAGAUAUAAUUUUGGGUGCAGCAAUUCAAUUAUUAAGUC